ensembl:rRNA 5S_rRNA 5S ribosomal RNA
UCUGUGGUGAUGCCACCCUGAAUGUGCCUGAUCUCGUCUGAUCUUGGAAGCUAAGCAGGGUUGGGCAUGGUUAGUACUUGGAUGGGAGAAACAUUGUCUUUUACGUAC